UACGUAGGGUGCAAGCGUUAAUCGGAAUUACUGGGCGUAAAGCGUGCGCAGGCGGUUCUAUAAGACAGAUGUGAAAUCCCCGGGCUCAACCUGGGAACUGCAUUUGUGACUGUAGAGCUGGAGUACGGUAGAGGGGGAUGGAAUUCCGCGUGUAGCAGUGAAAUGCGUAGAUAUGCGGAGGAACACCGAUGGCGAAGGCAGCCCCCUGGGCUAACACUGACGCUCAGGCACGAAAGCGUGGGGAGCAAACAGG
rnacentral:rRNA from 1 species